ACCUUAAGUAACUCACCUCAGUACCAAAUCAUAUAUAACUCACCAUCCGUUUCCAUCCCCUUCUCGGGUUAGCUUAGCUCUCAUCUCACGGCAAAAAUGAUAAGGAUUUGGAAAACAGGGCCAGACACCUCGAUUGGACAAGACAAGCCCUCCCUCUUCGGCCUCUCAUCGAGGAUAAGAUGGCCCCACAUAUCCUCUUCUUCCAAUAAUUCACCACCAGUUGAUAUCACCUCACAAAAAUACACCCCGUUUCAUCUGCACCUCAAUCUACUAUAUCAUCCUCAGCUCAACUACCCCCACACCGUUCAUCAUCCUUUCAGUGAGUCAUCAACAUUUGAUAAAGAAAUCAGGUAAGUCGAUGCAGUUUAAUAGUGUUGUAACCGAACUAGGAAUCAUGAAUAGUCAACGAAGACAAAUAAUGAAAUUUACCGCGAAAAAUAACUGUUCACGUGCUCGCGCAAGAUAUCUUUCUCGGAGCACAUUUAUUU
rnacentral:lncRNA from 1 species